GGGGAAGUUAAGAAAAGCUGUAUCGAUUGUUGAGAUCUGGCGACUUGCUUAAAUUUCAUCAGCCUCACUUCUAUGGACUCUCAGGCCUCACGUGUACCAGCUCUCUGCUCUCCUUUGCCUUGGGACGUUCCAUCCCUGGAAGUUUCCCUGCCCACAUCUUUGUAGAGAGUCCAUUCUCCAAGCUUCAGUGUGUCAUCUGUUAGGACUAUGACCCACCUGGUACAUUACCUCAGGGCAUUCAUUUCAGGCUCCUUCUAAGUGGUCAAGUUUUCAAGAUUGUUUUGGCUCUAGCAAAACAAGUUGGAACAUUCACAUCAUCCAAGAAAACACCAACAUUUUUGUAAUGGCCUGCAAGGCCUUCCAAGAUCUGCCUCCUGCAACUCAGCUUCUCCUGUGCUCUUCUUCUGGACUCACUCUGCCUCAGCAACGCUGGUCCCUGUUGCCCCACCAAUAUGCCAGGUAAACCUCAGGUUCUCCUCCUGCCUUUUGCUAAGUAUAUGUCUUGAUGACAAGCCUUCUGCUAAUGAGCUGUGUUUCUGGACCGAUCAUGGUAGAAGUCAAUUGAAGUGUCCCUCACUUGGGGUUUCUUAAGGCUGCACUGAUGAGGAAACUGAAACAGAAAAUCCAGAGUAAAUUCCACCAGGCCACACAGCAAGGUCUGAUAGAGCCAGGAGAGACUUUAUGAAAUCCAGACUCUCACACUAAUGCUCUAUCAGCUAGACCUCCAUGUGAGUCUCCCCAAUGUAGGUAGGAAGCACUUUCC
rnacentral:lncRNA from 1 species